rnacentral:lncRNA from 1 species
UAAACAUGGUAAUAAAAGGACAAAUCAGUGCCCAGAUUGUGCAUCUGAAGCAAGGGGCUGGCUCUGGUGCUUUAAGACACAGGAGACCCCUGGGCUCCCACUCUGACCUCACCACUCCCCAGGUCUCAAAGGAAAACAAGAAAAGGAGUGGGCUGAAAAGAAUAAAUAAGUGCCACGGGCCAGUUUUUGCAGACUCCUCCAUCAAGCUCCAUGGGCCUUGGAGAAAAUCGGAAGGCCUGUAUUUGGUAAAGGAAACUUGUUGGUGUCCUCGCUCCCUCUCUGCUCCUGGCCAACCCUCUGCCAGCUCCUACCCUGUUCCUCAACCCCAGCGCCUCCAACUCCACCCUUCCUUUCCGUUGCCCCGGAGGGGAGGACAUGAGUCAGCAUUCAGACUUGAAAGUGUGAGCUGCCUCUGAGUCCUCAGAAUGUAAUCAUUUCAGAAAAUCUAGGACACACAACUACAGAGAAAGUCACCCUCCCCACCUCCUUCAGCUCUGUGGCCAGACAUGUACUUCCACUCUCUGAACGCAGCUUCAGCUGGACCCAAAUUUUAACAUCAAAACCACC